GUGCUCGCUUCAGCAACACAUAUACUAAAAUUGAAAAACAUAGAGAAGAUUAACAAGGCCCCUGUGCAAGGAUGACGUGCAAAUUUGUGAAGCAUUUCAUAUUUUA